UACGGAGGGUGCAAACGUUAAUCGGAAUUACUGGGCGUAAGGCGCGCGUAGGUGGUUGAGUAAGUCGGAUGUGAAAUCCGCGGGCUUAACCUGGGAAUUGCAUUUGAUACUGCCUGACUAGAGUGUGGAAGAGGGAAGCGGAAUUUCCGGUGUAGCGGUGAAAUGCGUAGAUAUCGGGAGGAACACCAGUGGCGAAGGCGGCUUCCUGGGCCGAAACUGACGCUGAGGCGCGAAAGCGUGGGGAGCGAACAGG
rnacentral:rRNA from 1 species